rnacentral:rRNA from 1 species
AUUGAACGCUGGCGGCAGGCCUAACACAUGCAAGUCGAACGGUAACAGGAAGCAGCUUGCUGCUUCGCUGACGAGUGGCGGACGGGUGAGUAAUGUCUGGGAAGCUGCCUGAUGGAGGGGGAUAACUACUGGAAACGGUAGCUAGUACCGCAUAAUGUCGCAAGACCAAAGAGGGGGACCUUCGGGCCUCUUGCCAUCGGAUGUGCCCAGAUGGGAUUAGCUUGUUGGUGGGGUAACGGCUCACCAAGGCGACGAUCCCUAGCUGGUCUGAGAGGAUGACCAGCCACACUGGAACUGAGACACGGUCCAGACUCCUACGGGAGGCAGCAGUGGGGAAUAUUGCACAAUGGGCGCAAGCCUGAUGCAGCCAUGCCGCGUGUAUGAAGAAGGCCUUCGGGUUGUAAAGUACUUUCAGCGGGGAGGAAGGGAGUAAAGUUAAUACCUUGGCUCAUUGACGUUACCCGCAGAAGAAGCACCGGCUAACUCCGUG